GCGUUCAGGUGCCUGCCGUCUUCGGCGGGUGAAAAGGGAAUACGGUGUGAAUCCGUAACGAUGCCGUCACUGUGUAAGGGAGCGGCCCCCAUGACCUCACUGGGCAACCGGGAAGAGGGGGGCGGCGAUGACCCCAGUCAGGAGACCUGCCCGAACGU
rnacentral:ncRNA from 1 species